ACUUUUGGCAAGUAGUUUGGCAGUAAAUUGUGCAUUACUUUGUUGAAGUUUUAAUUCAAAGUUUAAUAACUUGGGUUUUCCUUUUUGAAGGAUCUUCUUUGUCAUCAUAUUCCUGAUGAUAACCAAUUGAUUUUCUUAAUGUGAAAAUUGAUUUGUUAAUAUGUUCCUUGGUUUUUUCAAUAAUGAAAUUGUUAUAUUUACAAACAUGAUUUAUUUUUCUGCAAGCGUUUGCAACCAUGCCUUCCAGUUCCACUACAUCAGUCGAGGAUUGAAAACUCUCCAAGUUUGCCCAUUGGUGAUGUACUAUGUUUUAUGGAUCUGUUCCUUGAGUUAUUUGGAUGUGAAAACGUGCAUGGUUGGAAGUCACCAACUACAAAAUGUGGCAAAUGCCCAUUCAUGCAACAUUUUGCCUUCGUAAUCGAGGUUUCUUUGAUUGUGUUCUCCACCAAAGGGAAGCUUUUUUUAGUAUUCUAUCGAUUUCAGUCUUGAAGGUGAUUCGUCAGAUUGAGAAAUGCACCAGAUUGCAGGAGCUCUCUCAAGUUUACUAUGCUCCUAUUGGACCCUUGGAAUGAUAAGUCAGGGAGCUCUUGGAUUGUGCCCUGCCGAAACCUCCUGCACCAUGUCUAAGUAAUAACUCUUUUUUUAUUCCAACCGGUCAAUUGCAGUUUUGGCCUUAGGGAAUGCAAGAAUUAGGUUUGGCCCUUGGAAAAAAAAUGUUGAAGUAUGAACUAUGAAAUAGACUUGUCAUGAGUCAUGACUAUGACAUUAUUUUUGCAUUUUAUUGUUGCUAUUGUAUAAUCAAAUCACUGAGCAAGAUGUUGCAUCUUUAUGUCGUAGUUAUCUUGUCUUGAUGAAUAUAUAAAAUUUAUAAUUUAAAAUUUAUUUA